UACGGAGGGGGCGAGCGUUAUUCGGAAUUAUUGGGCGUAAAGGGCGCGUAGGCGGCGCGAUAAGUCAAAGGUGAAAUCCCUCGGCUCAACUGAGGAACUGCCUUUGAGACUGUCGAGCUCGAGGCCGGGAGGGGGUAGCGGAAUUCCCAGUGUAGCGGUGAAAUGCGUAGAUAUUAGGAAGAACACCAGUGGCGAAGGCGGCUCACUGGACCGGCACUGACGCUGAGGCGCGAAAGCGUGGGUAGCAAACAGG
rnacentral:rRNA from 1 species